AGAGUUUGAUCCUGGCUCAGAGCGAACGCUGGCGGCAGGCUUAACACAUGCAAGUCGAGCGGGCGUAGCAAUACGUCAGCGGCAGACGGGUGAGUAACGCGUGGGAACAUACCUUUUGGUUCGGAACAACACAGGGAAACUUGUGCUAAUACCGGAUAAGCCCUUACGGGGAAAGAUUUAUCGCCGAAAGAUUGGCCCGCGUCUGAUUAGCUAGUUGGUGAGGUAAUGGCUCACCAAGGCGACGAUCAGUAGCUGGUCUGAGAGGAUGAUCAGCCACAUUGGGACUGAGACACGGCCCAAACUCCUACGGGAGGCAGCAGUGGGGAAUAUUGGACAAUGGGGGCAACCCUGAUCCAGCCAUGCCCUUCAUAUGAAGGCCCUAGGGUUGUAAAGCUCUUUUGUGCGGG
rnacentral:rRNA from 1 species